GGGGUCGGGGGGGUCAGAGAGAUCCCUGGGGGGCAUGUCUUAGGAGUGGGCUUUUUGGGGACAUGGGGGCCAAGCGGGGUCUGCUGCUGAAGUUGCGGGGGUGUCCCCGAGCUGGGGACAGCGCUGGUGUCCGGGCCCUGGGUCCUGCAGGUGAAAUCGGGGGGUUCUUUGGUUAUCAGGGCGCUGGCCGGGCUGUGCGGGGUGGAAACGCUGGGGUGGAGCCUGCGGCAGAGGGGAGGGAAGGGUCCCCUGGCACCGAGAGCAGUGUAAUGGCAGUGGGGUCUCCUCGUCCUCUCUUUGCGGCACCUCUGGAGGUGCUGGGCUCAGGGAACCAGGGAUGUGCGGCCCUGAAGCCGGGAGUUCUGGGGUGGCACAGGCAGUGGUGGAAAGCCCCGUCCCUCACCAUGCCGCUUCGGUGCCAGGGGAGAUCCCUGUCGGGGAUUUCAAAAGGGAGACAGCGGUCCUUUCUUCUGCCGUGCCCGCCGCGCUGAGGCGGUGCUGUGCCGGUACCUGUGCACCUUCCAGCAAGAACCUGAGUACCUGAGGGGCAGCUGCGGUGCCAGGGCCGUUCCUCCCUGCCCUGUGACGUCCCGUAUCGCGUUGCUGCGAAAUGAGGCUUCUGAUCCUUGCUGUGUUUGCCCUGUUCUGCGUGGCCCACUGUGAGGAUGGGGCCAGGCUCCUGCUCUCCAAAUCCCAAUUAAACGGGUGUGCUGUGAGGACCGGACCCCGCGGCACAUCACCAGCGCCGCUGGUGCCAGUUACAGAUCUCGGAGCGAGCGGUGUGUCCCACGCCGCGGUUCUGCGGCCUCUUGAAGCUGGUUACUUCAACUUCACCUCUGCUACCACCGUGUACCUGGCUCAGGAGGGAGGACAGGCGACGGCGAGGGAUUUCAUUUACCCCUUCGUGCAGUUGUAGCCCCCCUUGGACACCAGCUACGCCUGGCUGUGCUCUUCAAGCUUGUUAGGAGAUGGUGCGUGUCCCUGCACUCUUAAAUCGCAUGCUCUGUUGCAAGAAGGAAAAGUGGCAAAUACCAUCAUCCUCCUCCCCUUUUUUAGGUUGGUUUUGUGAGCGCUCCUGGGCGGGGAGGAAUCCUGGCUCGGCGGGAGUUUGCCAGGAGGUUCUCACCUCGCGUUAUAUGUAUCUUUCAAGUAAUAACUGAAAUCGCUCUGCGGCGAUCGUGCAGCCCAGCGCAGUGCCCGUUCGCGGUGGGUUGGGUUUGCCCUACAGUCACCCGAAAAGCUCCAGCGUGGAUUGUAGUUAACGGGUACCGGUUGUCCAGAAGAAAAUACCUCAGACAGAGCAGUUUCCAGCCCAGCUCCCUCUGUGAGGGAGCUGCCCCUGCGGGAUUUGGGCCAGAAGCUUCGGGGGUGGAAGAUCUGAUGGUUAUAACUCAGCUGCGUGUGAUUUGUUUGGAAUUCUUUCUAAGAGUUUCUCCGUCCAGCCGGACUGGGCAGCUUUCGGCGUGAUGCCCUCCCUCGCGACGCUGCUGCUGUGGGACUUGAGCGAGAGAAAACACGACACCUCCGAGGCCAAGCAGAAGCGAGCAAAGCCAAAUGCCACCGGCACCCCAGAGCUCAGGAGAGAGCAAACACUAACCCACCCAGAACUGCAGGUGGGUUUGGAUCAGCAGGAGCCCGCAAAAGCACCGCCAGGGCUACGCUUCAGCCCCGCCGCUUCAAUGGCAGCGGCGUGUUGCCCUCUCCCUUAAAAAGAAGACGUAAAACCACGGAAAAGCGCACGGCCAAGCGCCUUUCUCGGCGUGUUCAGAGCAGAGUGCCACCAACGUGUUAACGCCCAGCGGAGCUUAUUUGUGGGGGCGCAGCUCUGCAGCACUUGUGGCGUCUGUGCCGCCUGCCGGACUCCGCUCGGCCGCACGGACCUCCGCCUGCUGCCCUCUCCUCGAGCUGAACCCUGUGCAUCUUGGGGGGCCCCUCUUCCGGGCGCUGCCCGCCUCGCCGAAACACCUGUGGGAAGGAGCUCUGGUGCUGGUAACGCCUCCUUUCGAGGGAGGCUUGCCAGAGCUCCCCCUUUGCGAGGUGGGGCAUGGGAAGCGCCGUGGUGUUUCAGCGAGCACUUAAUUGCUGUGUGUCUGGUUGUUUAUGGCUUCUUUUCUUCUUUCCUGGUCGCUCUGAGGCGUGUUGAGGAACCAAAGGCUUUGUAAUAAAAACAAACACCACAAAAGAA